rnacentral:rRNA from 1 species
UACAGAGGGGGCAAGCGUUGUUCGGAAUUACUGGGCGUAAAGGGCGCGUAGGCGGCCUUCUAAGUCGAACGUGAAGUCCCCGGGCUCAACCCGGGAACUGCGUCCGAUACUGGAAGGCUUGAAUCCGGGAGAGGGAUGCGGAAUUCCAGGUGUAGCGGUGAAAUGCGUAGAUAUCUGGAGGAACACCGGUGGCGAAGGCGGCAUCCUGGACCGGCAUUGACGCUGAGGCGCGAAAGCCAGGGGAGCAAAGCGGG